AGAUUGACGCGCUGGCGGCAGGCCUAACACAUGCAAGUCGAGCGGCAGCACGGGUACUUGUACCUGGUGGCGAGCGGCGGACGGGUGAGUAAUGCCUAGGAAUCUGCCUGGUAGUGGGGGAUAACGCUCGGAAACGGACGCUAAUACCGCAUACGUCCUACGGGAGAAAGCAGGGGACCUUCGGGCCUUGACGCUAUCAGAUGAGCCUAGGUCGGAUUAGCUAGUUGGUGAGGUAAUGGCUCACCAAGGCGACGAUCCGUAACUGGUCUGAGAGGAUGAUCAGUCACACUGGAACUGAGACCACGGUCCAGACUCCUA
rnacentral:rRNA from 1 species